rnacentral:rRNA from 1 species
AGCGAACGCUGGCGGCAGGCUUAACACAUGCAAGUCGAGCGCCCCGCAAGGGGAGCGGCAGACGGGAGAGUAACACGUGGGAACGUACCCUUUAGUUCGGAACAACCCAGGGAAACUUGGGCUAAUACCGGAUACGUCCGAAAGGAGAAAGAUUUAUCGCUAAAGGAUCGGCCCGCGUCUGAUUAGCUAGUUGGUGAGGUAAUGGCUCACCAAGGCGACGAUCAGUAGCUGGUCUGAGAGGAUGAUCAGCCUCACUGGGACUGAGACACGGCCCAGACUCCUACGGGAGGCAGCAGUGGGGAAUAUUGGACAAUGGGCGCAAGCCUGAUCCAGCCAUGCCGCGUGGGUGAUGAAGGCCCUAGGGUUGUAAAGCCCUUUCGGCGGGGAAGAUAAUGACGGUACCCGCAGAAGAAGCCCCGGCUAACUUCGUGCCAGCCGCCGCAGUAAAAC